rnacentral:lncRNA from 1 species
AAAAGGGAAACAAUAAAAUAAAAAUAAAAAUAAAAAUAAAAGAACUCUGAGAUGUGACCAAGGUCCAAGGUGGCUAAAAUCUUAGCCUAUAUAACGACCAAAUUAAUUGUACACUCUUCCUUCUUCAAACAAACUUCUUCCAUCUAAAGCCGCCAAAUACAAUGACCCUUUCAUACUUCUUUCCAUCGUCGGAGUCUCGUCGGAAAACCCGCCGGAAAUCUACUUUACGGCAGCGGUCGUUUACUAUGGUAAAACAGCAGAAAACAAGGUUCUACAUCCUUAAACGUUGUAUCAUCAUGCUUUUGUGUUGGCAAAGUCAUUCGGUAGCUGAUUGAUUUGCGAUAAUUCAAUCAUUUCUUGUGAAUAUUUGUGAAAAAGAAACUUCAGAGGUGUUGUUUUUUCGUCCCUUUCAAAUGGGUAAAGCUUUGUUUCAGCUGGCAAUCAUACUUUCUUUGAACCGAGGAUCUAUUAAAAAUAUGUUCUGCAUAUACAGCCAUAUGCGUAUCCUUUUCGGAUCCCACUUAUAAAUAUAUUGUUGUUGUUGCUGCUGCUUGUUUCAGCUGGUGAAGGCUUUGGAGAUAUUAAAGAUAAAAUUAUGAAUGAAUUUCAAGAAAUCCAAUGGCCAGAAUUUGUCAAAGAAUUCAGAUUUGUGGAAUUUUGAAGAGUGAAGAAGAGAUGAAGAUUGGAAAAUAUCUUGAUUGAUCACUUCUGCGAACAACCGGAGAGCAUAGACGAAUUCAAAAUUUAAUAUUUAAAAAUUUAUAUAAUUUAAAAAUUUACAUAUUUAAUGAAUUAUAUAAAUAUACCUAUGUCAGUAGGUUAUUAUACAAAUGAUAAAGUUUUUGCAGGGAGGGAAAAGGAAGAGUUUUGAAAAAAGAAGAGGAUUUGUUUCCUCUCUAUUCUGUAAUUAUUUCUUUUGUUUGAUUUACCUUCACCGCAUUUUAUUUUUUGCUUUAGGUCUGCUGUUAGCUUUUCUUUGUUCUAAAUUCUAAUUACGGAAAAGGGUCAGAAUUGCCCUUAACAUAUUGACUCCAGGUUAAAAAUGCCUUCCGUUAACCUAUUUUGAAGAAAAUAUCCCUACCGUUAAAACUAUGGCAUAUUUGUGCCCCUAACGUAUUGACUCCAGUUUAAAAAUGGUCCUACCGUUAACCUAUUUUGAAAAAAAUACCUCUACCGUUUUAAAUAUAAGUACAGUCAGUUGUUAGACUUAGGGGCACAAAUAUGCCACAUUUAACGGUAGGGGCAUUUUCUUUAAAAUAGGUUAACGGAGGACAUUUUUAACCUGUAAUCAAUACGUUAGGGACAAUUCUGACAAUUUUCCAUUCUAAUUAUAUAGACUUCCCCACUUCCUUGGGAUUCGGAUAAGGAAAUAUUCCAUCUUUUAUACUAUUUAUCUUCGUAAAAAGGAAGACUGAUCUAAUAUGAG